rnacentral:rRNA from 1 species
CAGUCGCCACGGGAAUACGUAGGGUGCAAGCGUUAAUCGGAAUUACUGGGCGUAAAGCGUGCGCAGGCGGUUAUAUAAGACAGAUGUGAAAUCCCCGGGCUCAACCUGGGAACUGCAUUUGUGACUGUAUAGCUAGAGUACGGCAGAGGGGGAUGGAAUUCCGCGUGUAGCAGUGAAAUGCGUAGAUAUGCGGAGGAACACCGAUGGCGAAGGCAAUCCCCUGGGCCUGUACUGACGCUCAUGCACGAAAGCGUGAGGAGCAAACAGGAUUAGAUACCCCCGUAGUCCCUGUCUCUUAUAC